GAUGAGAACGUAGCGAAAUGCGAUAAGUAGUGUGAAUUGCAGAAUUCAGUGAAUCAUCGAAUCUUUGAACGCACAUUGCGCCCCUUGGUAUUCCAUGGGGCAUGCCUGUUCGAGCGUCAUUUGUACCUUCAAGCUCUGCUUGGUGUUGGGUGUUUGUCUCGCCUCUGCGUGUAGACUCGCCUUAAAACAAUUGGCAGCCGGCGUAUUGAUUUCGGAGCGCAGUACAUCUCGCGCUUUGCACUCAUAACGACGACGUCCAAAAGUACAUUUUUACACUCUUGACCUCGGAUCAGGUAGGGAUACCCGCUGAACUUAAGCAUAUCAAUAAGCGGAGGA
rnacentral:misc_RNA from 1 species